UACGGGGGGGGCAAGCGUUGUUCGGAAUUACUGGGCGUAAAGGGCUCGUAGGCGGCCAACUAAGUCAGACGUGAAAUCCCUCGGCUUAACCGGGGAACUGCGUCUGAUACUGGAUGGCUUGAGAUUGGGAGAGGGACGCGGAAUUCCAGGUGUAGCGGUGAAAUGCGUAGAUAUCUGGAGGAACACCGGUGGCGAAGGCGGCGUCCUGGACCAAUACUGACGCUGAGGAGCGAAAGCGUGGGGAGCGAACAGG
rnacentral:rRNA from 1 species